UAGUCAUGAAACUUGGACAUACUUGUGUCCUGGAGCUGACGAGCAAUCCAUCCAAGGGUGUCUGAUUGGCUAAUGUCAUUGUGAUGCAGCUCUGUCAUCUCUCUGGGGUCAUGUCAGUUGAAGUCAUAGCUCGACUGAGGAAGGGAACAGAAGGAACUACUGGUCAACUCCAUUCAAAACUUCUUCAGCGAUCUGUUUUAUAGCAGAUGUCUUUAGAUGUCAUUGCUGGACAUCCAAAUGACAGCGAGGUGGUUCCGAGCAGCCGCGGGGCGGAGCUGGGGGCGGUGACGGGGAGGAGGCACCGCGGGCGGAGCAGAGAGCCAGGGCAGGCAAGGGCAGCGGAGUAGCGGGCUGUGGCAGUGCCAAGCGCGGCUGGCGGGGUGCUCCUGGGUGCGCGUGGCUGCCGCCGGCGGGGCCGGACUUUGUGUCCUGCGAGGGCCGGGGCCUCGGCCGCGAACGCCUCUGAAUCUUUGGCUUCUUUCCCAGCUCGUGCACCUCUGUCCUGUGAUAUGAAAUUUCAGCGGGAGAAAAUGGAUUUUCUGAGUUUGCUGCUUCUUUUCUUCUCGGCAGUGACUGUGAGCAGAGCCCAGGUGCAGCAGGAGCCUUUGGUAGAGACCAGCGAGGACACCGGCAUCAACAUCACCUGCUCACACCCCAGCAUACAGUCCAACGAAAACAUCCACUGGUACCGUCAGCUCCCGGACCGAGGUCCUGUCUUCAUUGUGAGCGUUUUUAAAGACUCCAAGGAGGUGCCGAACCCGGUGGGACGGCUGUCGGUGUCGGCAGACCGCCGCUCCAGCGCCCUGUGGCUCGCCCGGCCCCGGCUCGGGGACGCGGCGGUGUAUUACUGCGCCGUAGGCACACGGGGAGAGGAGCCGGGGCUGCGGCCGGACACGAACCGCUUUGGUCGUCCCGGGAGUACAGUGCCGUCGGGACCCGCAGGGGGCGCUGCCUGCAGGGCCAACAAACUCCAUUCUGACCAAGAUGCACCUCCCUGUGCUAUCGGGAGAAAAGAGCAGGACACCCAUUGCAGCCAUUGACUGAAUGUGAGUCAGACACAUCUAUGUCUGAAGUGAGUAAGACCGCAUAAAUUACAAGUUCUGUUAUACACCACGGAGACCUCCUCACAAUUCUACUGUCCUCUCUUGCUUCCCUGGUGCCACACUGGUGAGAGUAGGAGGAGCCCUGUUUCUAUGAGCCAGCAAGGAGGCUUAUACCCAUGCUUUUUCCAUAAGCUGAUCAGUGGUCAUGUUCUCCCUUUAAGCAACCUUUUGGCUUAGCUGUGGGCAGAAAUAUUGCAAGGCAAAGGCCAAUAGUUCCCUCUUCUACCACUGGCAGAGAGACCUUCUGCUUCUAGGGACAGUGCCCAAGAGAGCAGCCUUUGCAGUG